rnacentral:rRNA from 1 species
AUUGAACGCUGGCGGCAGGCCUAACACAUGCAAGUCGAGCGAAUGAGGGGAGCUUGCUCCCUGAUUUAGCGGCGGACGGGUGAGUAAUGCGUAGGAAGCUGCCCGAUAGAGGGGGAUACCAGUUGGAAACGACUGUUAAUACCGCAUAAUGUCUACGGACCAAAGUGUGGGACCUUCGGGCCACAUGCUAUCGGAUGCGCCUACGUGGGAUUAGCUAGUUGGUGGGGUAAAGGGCUCACCAAGGCGACGAUCCCUAGCUGGUUUGAGAGGAUGAUCAGCCACACUGGGACUGAGACACGGCCCAGACUCCUGCGGGAGGCAGCAGUGGGGAAUAUUGGACAAUGGGCGCAAGUCUGAACCAGCCACGUCGCGUGAAGGAAGACGGCCCUACGGGUUGUAAACUUCUUUUAUACGGGAAUAAAGUGCCCCACGCGUGGGGUUUUGUCAUGUACCGUAUGAAUAAGGAAUCGGCUAACUCCGUGCCAGCAGCCGCGGUAAAUC